AGGAAGAAAAAGACCUUCAGAGGAAACACACCAACAGAACAGCUGUGUGUGUCGUUUUCUCGAGGAGUGACCGUCUAGCUCACUGCAGCUGGAUGACCCAGAGGUGGCCCAGACCUCCCCUCCACGCCCCCUGCCCCAUCCUCACCUCCAGGCUGCCUGACCCACACUCCUUGUGGUCUGGAGUUAAAGGGAGGAAUAAAUGAUAUUUUAUACAAGCCCUACCUUUGGGAUCCUCUUUGGAGAAAUAUAUUGGGAGCAAUAAUAUUUUACGGUGCAGGCGAAAUUAAGGUGCUCAGCCUCAAAUAUGUGAAAAACGAGUUGAGAGCGCUGAGUGUGGUGUAAGGCGUAAGUGGAUGAUACUCAGUAGCCGUGCUCCCACGCCAACUGAUUAGACUGCUUGAGGAUGAAUCGUAUGAAUUACUCAUUCUUGGGAUGCACCAAGAUGCAUCUUGAUUCACAUUCAGCCAAGAAAACCAGUCAAUACCACGGAGCAUCAACACCAAGGAACAGUUGACUAGCACUUGCCCUGAGAUAUCCUCAAGCACAGGUCUGAUGGUCCAACAUCUGUGUCCCACCCCUUGGAGACGAGACUGCAGUCUGAAAGGCCCGCACCUGCUCGGCCUAACCCAUGUGCCUAAGCCUUCCUCAGCGUCACCAGCUUGUCCACAGAGAGUCGGCCCCACUCGUGGUCACACAAGCCAACGGAGCACACUCCCAGCAGACGGCUGCCCUUCCCCCACCUGAGGCCGAAAGCAGAGAAAGAUCCACAGCCAGCACUUUCUGACUCCAGAUACCUGCCAGCGGGACCAGCAUCUGGACCAAGAAAGCCCAGCAUGAUUGGACUUGGGACAACGUCAUGCGGAUGAAGUCUUUGUCCGGUCAUGGGUUGCCUGGAAGUCCUCUGGGGGCCUGGAGGAUGGCCACCCGGUCCCUGCCAGCUGCUCCUCUGCCCACGGAGGUCCGUGGCCCAUGCUUGCCACUAAAGCUGGUCCACGUACCCCAGAAAUGUAAAUUCUCCCCCUGAUUGCUAAGGAAGUGAGGGCAGGGGUGAUUUUCAGAAAUGGGUAUUUUUGUUGCUCUUUGAUAUUCAUUAUCAAAAAUUGUCUGAAAGAGCCUAAAAGCCAGUGAUUAGUCAAGGACAAGGGGCAUCAGACGGGCAAACAAACUAUAAGCCACUGACCUCUUCGUGGUGCCCACUGUGAGGGGCUCUGGCCCGAGAGCUUGGUUUCCUCUGCUGCCCAGCACGUCGGCAUCACUUACAAGCAUAGACAACAUCUCCAAAGUGUAUGCCAAGGAGCUGGACCCAACUUUCUCGGUGUUUCCACGUGUGUUCAUGCUGCUGGUGAAGCUGCCCCAAUCGAGCGAUGCAUAGAUUCGUGGUAGAAAUGCAGAGAGGGGGCAAAUGAGCUGCACCAGAAGCAAGACGCGAGGAAGGAGGCCUACAGAAUGCUGACCUUGGAGACAUCCAGGCAGACCCUCGUACGGAUGGCCUCUCACUGGCCAUUCACAGUGCAUGGCAGGACACCAUUUACGUUUUUAGAUUAUGAAUUGUUUGGAGUGUGCCAGGCAUAAGAGAACAAGCUCGCACCAUGCACCUGCCCUCUGGCGGGCCCUCCCACACAUGUGUGUAAAAUGGUGGAGGGAGAAGGCGAAGCGAGACCUGAGACAGCACAGUCACCUGUGAGCUCAGGUGUGGGCUGGCGGGUGUGGCCUGGCAGGUGUGGGCUGACAGGGCCUCUCAGGACAAACCUGGAAGUGAAGUUUGUCUCAAAGAUCACAGCUCUCCCCCCACCACUGCAUUGUAACCUGGCCAGUAUAAUGAGACCUGUCACACUCUACCCGAGUGAGAAUACAUUUCCAUGGGGUGUGAUGAAAAGGUCUUUUACAAGCACAGGAUGGCAGGAGCCAAACAUUUGCUAACAAGAAGCAACCUCCUCCAGCAGAAGGGGGGAGGCCUGUGUCUGUGGCCACACCUAAUAUUAAUGAAAGGAUAAUGGAGCAUACGUGUAUAUAAUGUUCUCAACGAGCACAUGUCUGCAGGUUCUUUUGAAUUUGGAGGGAUGGACAGAUGUCAAAUAUUGAUUCCAGUUGAUUAAAAGGCACUGAGCCUUUGCGUUAUAUUGCAGAGGUCCCCAUAUUCCAGACCUCACCAUUUGUCUUUCUGAAGGAAGACUAUGAAUCCUAAACCUUAAUCUGCUUUCAGACAACAAACAUGAUCAAUGCCCCAAAUACUCCACUGUUAUUCUUCCAGAGCUUUCUGCACGCUCGGCAUUGCUUACGUACCAUGGGGAAUCUAAGAUGAAAUUGAAGGUACGUACGGAUGUCCCUUCUACUGCCAGGUGAGCUCUUCGGGGAAAGCUUACAGAGCUGUGGUCGAGGCACCAGACAGCCCAACUUAACUUACUCCACAGCGCUGGUGAGAAAACUCCCCGUUGGACAUGAAGGAGGGCCUUGAUGGGCACGUGGCACCUGGGCAAUAUAGAGGUUUGUCUCUCCCCUCAUCCGUCUGGGUGUAGCCGGGUCUAAGUGACGUGACCUACAAGAAUUAGCUUGGAGAACGAUGUCUCUCUGCCUCUGACUUAGGCUGCAUGUGGGAAACAAAAGAAAGGAGUGAUUGGCAGACAGCCUUGGGGGCCCAAGACACCGUAGAGAGAGAGAGAGAGAGAGAGAGAGCCCUCCUCCCUUUCCCUAUCCGUAGAUGCCCUGGACCUUGUUAAAAAUAAGAUGAAGAGGUCAGAGUGGGCACAGCCUCAGUCCCAGAGCCUCUAACACUGGGAGUUCCGAGGGCUACCCUACCUCAGCUCCAUGGCCAUAGGCUUCUAGGGAGGACACAGAGAUAGUUUGCUACACCAAUAACCCAGCAGCUGAAGAAAUUAUCUUUAGCAGGUUGAUGACUUCAUGGAAGGGGGUGGAUACCACACAGGGGUGGAAAGAGACAGCCAAGUCAAAUGGAAUGUCAGGAAUUCUACAUGGAAAGCUGGGAAGUGUAUGGACCCAAUGCAGUCACAUGCCAGCUAUGCAAAUUUAGGCAAACUAUUUGAGUCCUCAAAGCUUUAAUUCCCAUUUUUUGUAAUAACUACAUUGCAAAGGUAUGAAGAAUUUUGAUAAACUAUGUGAGGUGCUUAGUAUAGUGCCUGGCUCCGAAAGGCACCCGAUACAUGGUAGCCAAUCACUGUAACCUCUCAAUUGAUGUACGUUCAAUUCAGUGAGUUCUUAUUGGUCUUCAUGGAAUUCCUGAACUAUAGGUAGGAUAUGUUUAUCAUAAUCCUAUAUUAGAAAUCUGU